CAAGAAGUGUUAUUGGACACUCCUUCAUCUAUGGGAGAAUCUGACUUCCCAAAAGGAACGAAAGUGAUUUUGUAUGUUAGAAUGGAGAAGCUCCAAAGGAUAUUUACCCACGUUAAUACUUCCUGGAUCUACAGCAAUAAACACGGACAUUCUUUGAGAAAAUGCAUUACCUGAAAGAGCACUUUUGUGCACUUGGAAGCCUGUAUUAUGGAGCCAAGGAAGCUGUAUGGGAAUAUGCAUGACUCUCCUAAAGGAAAAGAAGUUGGGAGCAGAGGUGAUUCCUGUCCAAUUUGGGUGAUGGAUGUAUUCCCACGUCCCAAGCUGUAAAAUACCAGUCCACCGAUUUUGGAA
rnacentral:lncRNA from 1 species